AAAAAAAGAGUUGCAAGACUCGAAAACCAUCGUGAACAUACCUCUCGUCGUUGCUUCGGCGGGCUGCUCGUCAGGGCGCCCGCCGGAGGACCACCAAACUCUGUUUUCUUAGCGUAUCUCUGAGUGGACCACGAAAAACGAAUCA
rnacentral:misc_RNA from 1 species